UGGAUAACCUGCCUUAUACUGGGGGAUAACAGCCAGAAAUGGCUGCUAAUACCGCAUAAGCGCACGGCGCCGCAUGGCGCAGUGUGAAAAACUCCGGUGGUAUAAGAUGGAUCCGCGCCUGAUUAGCUAGUUGGCGGGGCAGCGGCCCACCAAGGCGACGAUCAGUAGCCGGCCUGAGAGGGCGACCGGCCACAUUGGGACUGAGACACGGCCCAAACUCCUACGGGAGGCAGCAG
rnacentral:rRNA from 1 species